CUACAGCAGAGGUGAGGCUUGACUUCAACAGCUCUGUGCCAUCCGCACAACUUCCAACUUCUGAUGACGUGGCACGAGUCUUGGUGGACGCUGUCUCCAAUCCCAACAGUACCCUCAAUGUCAGCAUUCUACCGGACUCCGUCCAAGUGACUGGAUCUAAAUUGACUGGAGCAACAACAGCAACUGCCAGAAUGACAGCAGCAGUCAAUGCAACAACAAGCGUUCCCUCCACUACCGAGGCUGCUCCACCGUCCGUGUAUCUGCGAGCAACACUGGAUGAAGUGUUUGUGCCAGAAUUCACAAAUAGAAGCAGUGAAGAAUUCAGGAGUCUUGAGGCCACAGUCAUACGAUUCUGCGACGGCAUCUACGUGACUCGAUUUGGCUCCCGCUUCAUCCGCACUGUCCUCAUAAGGUUUAGCCAAGCUCCAGGCAACGGCAGCACAAGCAAUACUACAGCAGAGGUGAGGCUUGACUUCAACAGUUCUGUGCCAUCCGCACAACUUCCAACUUCUGAUGACGUGGCACGAGUCUUGGUGGACGCUGUCUCCAAUCCCAACAGUACCCUCAAUGUCAGCAUUCUACCGGACUCUGUCCAAGUGACUGGAUCUAAAUUGACUGGAGCAACAACAGCAACUGCCAGAAUGACAGCAGCAGUCAAUGCAACAACAAGCGUUCCCUCCACUACCGAGGCUGCUCCACCGUCCGUGUAUCUGCGAGCAACACUGGAAAAAUUGUUUGUGCCAGAAUUCACAAAUAGAAGCAGUGAAGAAUUCAGGAGGCUUGAGGCCACA
ensembl:lncRNA